UGAGUAGGACAGGUGGUCGCUGCCGCAGCGCCGAAAGGCGGCGGGAGAGGAAAGUCCGGGCUUCACAGGGCAGGAUGCCAGAUAACGUCUGGCGGAGGUGACUCCAGGGACAGUGCAACAGAAAUGUACCGCCGGUAGAAACCGGUAAGGGUGGAAGGGCAGUGUAAGAGACUACCGCCCGCCUGGUAACAGGCGGGGCACAUGUAAACCCCAUCCGAAGCAAGACCGAACAGAAAGCAUAAGGCGGCCCGUCUGCUUUCGGGUAGGUUGCUUGAGCCGGGCGGUGACGCCCGGCCUAGAUAGAUGACCAUCCGCGACAUAACCCGGCUUAUCGUCCUGCUCAGGUU
rnacentral:RNase_P_RNA from 2 species